rfam:Schistosoma haematobium scaffold545_26, whole genome shotgun sequence.
AUUCAGCUGAUGAGUCGUAAAUAGGACGAAACGCGCGUCUUGAAU